UGGGGAAUUUUGGACAAUGGACGCAAGUCUGAUCCAGCCAUGCCGCGUGCGGGAAGAAGGCCUCCGGGUUGUAAACCGCUUUUGUCAGGGAAGAAACGAGUUUCUCUAAUACAGAGACUUAAUGACGGUACCUGAAGAAUAAGCACCGGCUAACUACGUGCCAGCAGCCGCGGUAAUACGUAGGGUGCAAGCGUUAAUCGGAAUUACUGGGCGUAAAGCGUGCGCAGGCGGUUAUAUAAGACAGAUGUGAAAUCCCCGGGCUCAACCUGGGAACUGCAUUUGUGACUGUAUAGCUAGAGUACGGCAGAGGGGGAUGGAAUUCCGCGUGUAACAGUGAAAUGCGUAGAUAUGCGGAGGAACACCGAUGGCGAAGGCAAUCCCCUGGGCCUGUACUGACGCUCAUGCACGAAAGCGUGGGGAGCAAACA
rnacentral:rRNA from 1 species